UACGGAGGAGGCAAGCGUUAUCCGGAAUUAUUGGGCGUAAAGCGUCCGCAGGUGGCACUUCAAGUCUGUCGUCAAAGACUGGGGCUUAACCCUGGAAAGGCAGUGGAAACUGAAGCGCUAGAGUGCAGUAGGGGUAGAGGGAAUUCCCGGUGUAGCGGUGAAAUGCGUAGAGAUCGGGAAGAACAUCGGUGGCGAAAGCGCUCUGCUGGACUGCAACUGACACUCAGGGACGAAAGCUAGGGGAGCGAAUGGG
rnacentral:rRNA from 1 species